rnacentral:rRNA from 1 species
GAUAUAGCUGGUUUUCUGCGAAAUUUGUUUUAGCAAGUUGUUUAUUAGAAUUAUUAGUAGGUAUAGCACUGAAUAUCUAAAUAAUUAGGAGGGAAUAUUAAAGAUAUUUUCUUGGAUAUUUAAUCUCAGAAUGACUUAAUAAUAGUGGUAAAUAAUGGGACUUCUUGCGAUAAGGUGGGAAGUCAAGAGGGGAACAGCCCAGA